rnacentral:lncRNA from 1 species
AAAUUAUUACACCUUUGCAGUUCUACCAAUGAAUAAAAUCCUUUUUCUUUCCCUGUAAUGUAACAAUAAUAAAAUUAAUUCUUGCAUUUUCAUUAGCAAUUAACUUUUAUAUUUGCCCAAAUUUCGGAAUAUCGUCCUGAAAUUAUUGCAACUUGCAUGAUGAAACAAUGUAAUGGGGUUCUAGUUACCAUGGAAUGUUUUAGAAUGUGUUAGGAUUCUACACAGGCCUUACUUCUAACAGAAUACUUUUUCAUCGAGUUCACACACCAUAGCACUUGAAUGGGGUGGUACUUCACAAACCACCCUAUGGGUGGAGACUAGACCACAAGACCCCUUAAAGAACUUUCCAAUUAUGACUUUUUUUUUUUAUGAUUUAAAAAAUUGGAAAUUUCCAGGUAACUGAAAAACAAUGGAGAAAAAUAAAGAAAAAAAAAAUCUACACAAAUGCAAGGCCCUCAAUAUGACUUAAGACAGAGAAUAUCCAGAGUUUAAAUAACAGUAAGUAAAAAAGGAAAAAUCACUUAAUCCCAGCACUUGUCUCUGCUGCCCACACCCCAGUCCCACCUUGCUGCCUGGCAAUGCCCUGAACAAAGGCCAACAAAAGAGAGAAGAGGAAAGGCAAUGCAGGCCCAGCAGCAGGUCUAAAACCACUGCCAGAAUGGGAUACUAAAUCCACCCCUAGUUUGCAAAUGCAAAAUCAAAACCAAAUGUCCAGGUGAGACGAGAAGAGACAUUUAAAAGUUUGCAUGAUUUGAAGGGGCAAUCUUCAAAAUACUUGGUUCUUGCGGAAGCACAAAGCAGGCAGGAAGGAAGAAGAAUUGAGUUUACAGCAAAUGACUGCAACUCUGCAGCCUCCCUCACCACUGGCUCUCUGUCCGUCUGACAGUUGUUUGUAAACUCCAGAAGGGAGAAAGGUGGCAUUAUGAACCUAGCCUGCCCUGUAAGACAUGAAUUUCCAUCCUGAAGUAAAUAAGAAAUCAUGGGAACAGCGGCAAUGGAGUCUGCUGAAUUCUUAGCUUGAUGUGUGUACACAGAAGCCUUGACCACGCACUUUGUCCCCAUGGCUAGUAUCAGUGUGUUAAAAGAUGUGAAUUUGUUUAUUCUCCCUUGAUCUACUUUUUGUAUAAAUUCUUCACAGGGGGUUACUACGAGAAACUGUGAUGGAGGAAGUUGUUAUCGCUAAUGGCUCUGAAGGUUGUUAACGUUAAUGGAUUAGAACUGGAGGCGUGUUAAACUCAGUGAUUUCAGGUAGCAGGGGAAUUAAAUAAAAGAUUUUCUAGGCUCUGGCUGGAAUUUCAGAGUUCAAAUCACAUUAAUACUAUUUGAUCAAAUCUACUGAAAGAACAAUCCAAGCACAAAUCCUGUCGUUGCCCUCGGCCCCCAGGAUUCACUGGCUGGUUGACUCAUCUUAUCUGUGUUUAAAUAGGUUUAGAUUUGGGUAACGCUGAUUAAAAUUCAGAUUGAUGUUUUCAAAUUUAUUGAAUACUAUAUAUUUUAUUAUACUUUCUUUGAAAAAAUUAAUGUAAUUGUCAAUUACAGGUCAUUGCUUUAUGACUUAAGUAUCUUCCCAGAACAUGAAGAUACUUAUUAGGAAAUAACUUAUUGACUUCAUCAAAAACUACAAAAUUACAAUAUUCUUCUUUGGAAAAUAAAUGUUAAAAUCACAUAAUUAUACAUAAUCUAUAGUCAAAUGUUCAGGUCAAAAAUCACACUAAUCAGUUUUAAAGUUAAAACAUUAAAAAUAUAAAAUAAAAUAAUUAAAAGCCUCUUCUUCAACCUUCGCCAUUAUCAUCGUCAUCAUCAAC